AUGGCUUGGAGCCGACCCCGGCUGCUUUUCCGCUGUGAGCUGUUUCCCCAGCCACGGGGCAGGCGGAUGGCCAUGCAGCGCUCCGGGGGGGAUUUCGGUAGAUGCAUUUUUAACCUGGGCCAUUUUCCCAGUGCAUUUGGCGCUGGCAAAAGGGGGCGGGGGGGGAUUGGCAGACCCAGAGCAAAUGACAUCCUCUCCCCUCGAGGGGCCAUGCAAGCCCCAAGCCCCAGAAUUCAGCGGACUCCAGCUUUACCCGGGCUUUGGGGAGACUGAACUAUUUGCAGAACUCGGAUCACCAUUUGGAACAGACCAAAAGGGAUUGAAAGUUGCCGCUCUGGCCGGCGUUGACUCUUGGCUUUUGCCCGGUGACAAAGGAUCGCUUAGAAAAAAGAAAUUCAACCGGUGCCGAGGGAACCAGCUGAGCCCAAAGGCUGCCCCCCAAGAGGCGCUUUUAAACUCUCAAUACCAGCGUCGACCGCAGCAUCGGCAUCUUCGCCAUGGGUUCAUCACGAGGCCCCCUCAGAGCUCCUGAUCUCGCCUCAAAGAUCGAGCCCGGCACCCCCAGGCGUCCUCCCCACUGACCCAGCGAGGCACCGCUCAGGAUGUUUAUCCGGCCGUCCCCUGCUCACGAUUCAAUUGGCCUGCCUUCAUUAAAGGCUGGCAUAGCUGCCUAA